rnacentral:rRNA from 1 species
UACGAAGGGGGCUAGCGUUGUUCGGAUUUACUGGGCGUAAAGCGCACGUAGGCGGAUCGUUAAGUCGAGGGUGAAAUCCUGGAGCUCAACUCCAGAACUGCCUUCGAUACUGGCGAUCUAGAGUCCGGAAGAGGUGAGUGGAACUCCUAGUGUAGAGGUGGAAUUCGUAGAUAUUAGGAAGAACACCAGUGGCGAAGGCGGCUCACUGGUCCGGUACUGACGCUGAUGUGCGAAAGCGUGGGGAGCAAACAGGG